AAGUUUCCAAGGGCGCAUGGUGGAUGCCUUGGCAACAGGAGCCGAAGAAGGACGUGGGAAUCUGCGAUAAGCCUGGUGGAGUCGAUAACCGGACGUUGAGACCAGGAUUUCCGAAUGGGGAAACCCCGCACGACGUGUCGUGUGACCCCCGGUUGAACACAUAGACCGGGUGGAGGGAACGUGGGGAAGUGAAACAUCUCAGUACCCACAGGAAGAGAAAACAAAAGUGAUUCCGUUAGUAGUGGCGAGCGAACGCGGAUGGGGCUAAACCGUAUGUGUGUGAUACCCGGCAGGGGUUGCAUGUGCGGUGUUGUGGGCCCCUCCUUGUCAUGUCUGCCGGCAUGGCGCAGUGAGGUGCGGGCAUAUAGACGAACCAGUGUGGAUGCUGGACCGUAGAGGGUGAGAGUCCCGUAGUCGAAAUGUGUUCCGCCGCUGUUGGAGGGUUGCCCGAGUAGCACGGGGCCCGAGGAAUCCCGUGUGAAUCUGCCAGGACCACCUGGUAAGCCUGAAUACUACCUGUUGACCGAUAGCGGAUCAGUACCGUGAGGGAAUGGUGAAAAGUACCCCGGGAGGGGAGUGAAAUAGUACCUGAAACCAUGUGCCU
rnacentral:rRNA from 1 species